rnacentral:rRNA from 1 species
UCUGGUGACAAUGGCAAGGAGGUCACACCUGUUCCCAUGCCGAACACAGAAGUUAAGCUCCUUAGCGCCGAUGGUAGUUGGACUGACGUU